rnacentral:rRNA from 1 species
CCUACGGGUGGCAGCAGUAGGGAAUAUUGCUCAAUGGGCGAAACCCUGAAGCAGCAACGCCGCGUGGAGGAUGACGGUUUUCGGAUUGUAAACUCCUUUUGUUAGAGAAGAUAAUGACGGUAUCUAACGAAUAAGCACCGGCUAACUCCGUACCAGCAGCCGCGGUAAAACGGAGGGUGGACGCGUUACUCGGAAUCAAUGGGCGUAAAGAGCGCGUAGGCGGGAUAGCAAGUCAGAUGUGAAAACCUAUGGCUUAACCAUAGAACUGCAUUUGAAACGGUUAUUCUAGAGUAGGGGAGAGGUAGGUGGAAUGCUUGGUGUAGGGGUAAAAUCCGUAGAGAUCAAGAGGAAUACUCAUUGCGAAGGCGACCUGCUAGAACAUAACUGACGCUGAUGCGCGAAAGCGUGGGGAGCAAACAGGAUUAGAUACCCGGGUAGUC